rnacentral:lncRNA from 1 species
GAGCUUCCUCGAUGACUAAGGCACGGGAAAUGUUCCACUCUUAAAUCUCUGUGUGGGUCACGAUCCAUCUCCAUAAUCAAUCCCAAUAAAGAUAAAACCACAAUUGCUAAACAAAUCCCAUCCCAAUUCACCAAAACCCAUCCCCGCAAUCCCCAGCAAAUUAACGAAUAGGGAGCAGUUGAGGAAUGAGUUGAUCGAGCAUCCAAUUAGUAAGUGUCGUAGGAGUUUAAUUUGCAUCUAGUGUCUCGGGUUUAGCUAUAUGAUGUGAGCUGACGAAAUUGCAGAAAAAGCUAAUCACAAUCUGAGCUGUGUUGUGCGUUGUUGGUGGAGAACUUUCGAGUUAUUGCAGCAAUUGCUUAUAUAUGAGGAUACGGGAUUUAUUUGCAUCAUAGUAAUCUAACUAGUAGACUAAUUAUGUUAUGAUUGGAUUUGGAUAGCCUUGGUUACUCGUAAAUAUUUAUAUAUUUUGAAACACUAGUGAUGUGUAUUUGUAUAUGAGUUUUGGUACCCUUGUAUCUGGCUCAAUAUAUUUUCUUUGCUGAUCGAAAAAAAGUGUCGCAGGAGAAACACCAAACGGUGGAGACACUAGAGCAACAUGACAUGGGGGAUAUGUUCGUGCACCUCAGCGGAGCAUUGGAACCGAAGAAGAAGCCAGAGAUGGAAUGCGCUGCAUCCCUCUACGAGAACCAGGAGCGUCUUGAUCUCCUCCACCAUUGCUACUAUGGGCCACCACUUGCGACGGAGCGCAAAGCUGUUCACUUGCC